UGAGGAAUAUUGGUCAAUGGUCGAGAGACUGAACCAGCCAAGUCGCGUGAAGGAUGACUGCCCUAUGGGUUGUAAACUUCUUUUACAAGGGAAUAAAAUGAGAUACGUGUAUUUUAUUGCAUGUACCUUGUGAAUAAGCAUCGGCUAACUCCGUGCCAGCAGCCGCGGUAAUACGGAGGAUGCGAGCGUUAUCCGGAUUUAUUGGUUUUAAAGGCUGCGUAGGUGGGCUGUUAAGUCAGCGGUGAAAGUUUGUCGCUUAACGAUAAAAUUGCCGUUGAAACGGGUAGGCUUGAGUAUAGAUGAAGUAGGCGGGAUGCGUGGUGUAGCGGUGAAAUGCAUAGAGAUCACGCAGAACUCCGAUUGCGUAGGCAGCUUACUAAGGUAUAAAUGACACUGAAGCACGAAAGGGUGGGUAUCAAACAGG
rnacentral:rRNA from 1 species